rnacentral:rRNA from 1 species
CCAAUAGCGUAUAUUAAAGUUGUUGCAGUUAAAAAGCUCGUAGUUGAAUUUCGGGAUCAAUACGUCGGUCGUGCCUUCGGUACGUACUAACGUCAUUGAUUUCUCCUUUCUGACGAACCAUGAUGUCAUUAAUUUGGUGUUAUGGGGAGUUAGGACUGUUACCUUGAAAAAAUUAGAGUGUUUAAAGCAGGCUUACGCUUGAAUACAUUAGCAUGGAAUAAUGAAAUAGGACGUUCGAUCCUAUUUUGUUGGUUUCUAGGAUCAACGUAAUGAUUAAUAGGGAUAGUUGGGGGCAUUAGUAUUCAAUUGUCAGAGGUGAAAUUCUUGGAUUUAUUGAAGACUGACUACUGCGAAAGCAUUUGCCAAGGAUGUUUUCAUUAAUCAAGAACGAAAGUUAGGGGAUCGAAGACGAUCAGAUACCGUCGUAGUCUUAACCAUAAACUAUGCCGACUAGGGAUCGGAUGAUGUUAAUUUUAUAAUGACUCAUUCGGCGCCUUACG